rnacentral:rRNA from 1 species
UAGUGAUUAGAGUUUGAUCCUGGCUCAGGACGAACGCUGGCGGCGUGCCUAAUACAUGCAAGUCGAGCGGGCCGAACGAGAGCUUGCUCUUGUUUGGUCAGCGGCGGACGGGUGAGUAACACGUGGGCAACCUGCCCGCAAGACCGGAAUAACUCCGGGAAACCGGAGCUAAUACCGGAUAACACCAAAGACCGCAUGGUCUUUGGUUGAAAGGCGGCUUCGGCUGUCACUUGCGGAUGGGCCCGCGGCGCAUUAGCUAGUUGGUGAGGUAACGGCUCGCCAAGGCAACGAUGCGUAGCCGGCCUGAGAGGGUGACCGGCCACACUGGGACUGAGACACGGCCCAGACUCCUACGGGAGGCAGCAGUAGGGAAUCUUCCGCAAUGGACGAAAGUCUGACGGAGCGACGCCGCGUGAGCGAAGAAGGCCUUCGGGUCGUAAAGCUCUGUUGUGAGGGACGAAGGAGCGCCGUUUGAAUAAGGCGGCGCGGUGACGGUACCUCACGAGAAAGCCCCGGCUAACUACGUGCCAGCAGCCGCGGUAAUACGUAGGGGGCGAGCGUUGUCCGGAAUUAUUGGGCGUAAAGCGCGCGCAGGCGGUCCUUUAAGUCUGAUGUGAAAGCCCACGGCUCAACUGUGGAGGGUCAUUGGAAACUGGGGGACUUGAGUGCAGGAGAGGAGAGCGGAAUUCCACGUGUAGCGGUGAAAUGCGUAGAGAUGUGGAGGAACACCAGUGGCGAAGGCGGCUCUCUGGCCUGCAACUGACGCUGAGGCGCGAAAGCGUGGGGAGCAAACAGGAUUAGAUACCCCUGGUAGUCCACGCCGUAAACGAUGAGUGCUAAGUGUUAGAGGGGUCACACCCUUUAGUGCUGCAGCUAACGCGAUAAGCAC